CUGAUGAGGAUGAAGCAAAAAAUAAUUAAUCCAACACUUGAUCUGAGGAUUUCAUUUCUAGUGAUGUUCAAAAGUUUGCUACUGAAUCUGG